rnacentral:rRNA from 1 species
GAUGAACGCUAGCGGCAGGCUUAACACAUGCAAGUCGAGGGGUAUAGGUUUUCGGACCUAGAGACCGGCGCACGGGUGCGUAACGCGUAUGCAAUCUACCUUUCACAGAGGGAUAGCCCAGAGAAAUUUGGAUUAAUACCUCAUAGUAUUAUGAAGUGGCAUCAUUUUAUAAUUAAAGUUCCAACGGUGAAAGAUGAGCAUGCGUCCCAUUAGCUAGAUGGUAAGGUAACGGCUUACCAUGGCGACGAUGGGUAGGGGUCCUGAGAGGGAGAUCCCCCACACUGGUACUGAGACACGGACCAGACUCCUACGGGAGGCAGCAGUGAGGAAUAUUGGUCAGUGGACGCAAGUCUGAACCAGCCAUGCCGCGUGCAGGAUGACGGUCCUAUGGAUUGUAAACUGCUUUUGUACGAGAAGAAACACUCCUUCGUGAAGGAGCUUGACGGUAUCGUAAGAAUAAGGAUCGGCUAACUCCGUGCCAGCCGCCGCGGUAAUAC